CUCCUAAAUAAUAAAAUAGACAAAUUAUUAUUAAUAGAAUGUAAUUAUAAGUGAGAAAUAAACAGGUCUUGGACUUUCAUAGAUAGAUAGAUAGAUAGAUAGAUAGAUGAACAAACAGAUAAAUAUCUGAUAGACAAACUGACAAACAGACAGAGAGACAGACAUGUAAAUAGAUAGAUAGCUAGAUAGUCAGGUAGACAUGUAGAUAGAUAGAUAAAUAGAUAGAUAGAGACGAAGACUGACAAACAGACAAAUAUACAUGUAGAUAGAAAGAUAGAUAGAUAGAUGGACAGAUAAAGAGGAAGACUGAUGAACAGACAAAUAGACAUGUAGAUAGAUAGAUACAUAUACAGUCAGACAGACAUACAUGUAGAUAGAUAGAUAGAUAUACAGUCAGACAGACAUUCAUGUAGAUAGAUAGAUAGUCAGACAAACAGGUAGACAUGUAGAUAGAUAGAUAGAUAGAUAGAUAGAUAGAUAGAUAGAUAUACAGUCAGACAGACAUACAUGUAGAUAGAUAGAUAGUCAGACAAACAGGUAGACAUGUAGAUAGAUAGAUAGAUAGAGAGACUGACAAACAGACAAAUAGACAUGUAGAUAGAUAGAGAGAUAGAUAAAGAGGAAGACUGGUGAACAGAGGAAUAGAAAUGUAGAUAGAUAGAUAGAUAUACUGACAAACAGUCAGAGAGACAGACAUGUAAAUAGAUAGAUAGAUAGAUAGAUAGAUAGAUAGAUAGAUAGAUAGAUAGAGAGGAAGACUGAUGAACAGACAAAUAGAAAUAUACAUAGACAGACAGAGAGGAAGACUGAUGAACAGACAAACAAACAUGUAAAUAGACAGACAUAUAGACAGACAGAUAGAUAGUUAGAUAGAUAGAUAGAUAGAAGGGGCAGUGGUGGCUUAGCGUUUAAGGCUCUGGGUUACUGAUUGGAAGGUUCAAGCCCAAGCACUGCCACUGUUGGGCCCUUGAGCAAGGCCCUUAACUCUCUCUGCUCCAGUAGCACUGUAUCAUGGGCUCUAGUCCCAACUUCCUAAAGAAAAUUAUUUCAC
ensembl:lncRNA